rnacentral:lncRNA from 1 species
UAACUGCUACAUAAUUUUUUGUAGUAUAUAUUUUCAGGCCUCUUUUUCUAUAUGUAAAAAAGGCUGCCAUAGACUCACUUGUAUGAUAUCGAAGUCAUGUUUCUCAAGAUUCCCAUUUUCAUGAUCUGCUUAGCCAUCACCCUUUCCCUGUGGCCUCCAGAUGACUAUCUAUUGUUUUUAUUCAUUAGAACUGCUUCAGUCCUUGUGGCACAGAACACGAACUAACUCACUAUGAGAGAUGAACAUACUUCCAACCCCAAGACUACACCAGGAUAAUCUAGUCUCAUAGAAGCAGGGAGGCAUUUUCCUCUAUUUUAUCCAACUUGCACUGCCAAACAAGGUCUGGGCCUUUUCUCUCUUUUUAAUCCUUUCAUUCCAAUUGUUGGACAUGUUUUCCAUAUAGGAGAUUUUAAAACUCUGCUAUUUAUUCCCCAAGCACCCUCUAAUUAGCUAUUUAGUUCCCAUUAUAAGUGUGUUUGUUGCCAUUUAAUUAAGAGCAGUGAUACGACAAUUCCCUUUUUGUUUUAAAAAGAUAUCACGGAAAUAAAUCUCCCUGAUCAGUUAUUUGGUUAUUGCUACUGUUUUUUUUUUUUUUCUAUUCCCGAAAAAUGGGCUUGCUUUAUUUUGCUCUUUUUAGUCUCUCACAACAAAUUUUCCCCUUUUUUUCAUGAUUUUCACUUCCCGUUGUAAAGUUAGCUCACAGUGUUGAAAUGCCCUCUUUGAACACAUAUUUUUACUUCCUCAUCCUCCUCUCCCUGUGGUAACCCAGGCUUCUCUAUUGUAACUCAACAUUCAGCAGGUAUACAGAGACUGCCUCCACUACGUGGGUUUCAAACUGAAUAACUCAUUGUUGGGUCUGGAUCUGUAAAAAGGUUUUGUCACUGAUGGGCAAUAUGGAGAGAAUGUAAAAAUAUCUAACUUCAAACAGAAAAAAGAAACAACUGGAAUGAAAAGCUAUAAACAAUAGGUAAGGAAACACAAACAUUUACAUUUUAACACAGACCAAACAGGCAAGAAGGGACUUGCUGGCCAAAGAUAUCUCAUAUUUUGUUUUACUUCUCUGUUUUUAAAGUAUCAGGAAGUUGGGCCAAAUAUCAACUCUCUUCUAUAUUACAUGGACCUCCCAAUACUGUUCUUGGCUAGCCUGUUCACGGUCCAAACUGGCAUUUUAAACCAAUUCUAAUUAGGUUGAAAUUACAGUUACAAUUCAUUUACUUCAAAUCCGUUAACCUUCCAGUGUUGCAAAGAAGGCUGUGGAGUGGAACACAGAAUUCAGCUGAGAUGAUAUUUAAGGCAUAGCUAGGGACUGUGAUCUUGCCGACAAAAAUAUUACUUAUUUCCUUUUUAUGAAAAGAAUAUUACCAUCAGAAUCCAAGACCUCCGAACUUCCCUGCUGAAGGCACGUUUACGUCUUUGGACUCUGGUGUACCAGGGCCUGAACAAGCUAUAACACCAUGGUAUUACCAAAUACAUCCUAAGUCAUCAAAACAGCUUUUUAGGCUAAUUCUGUAAGUACAGCAAAACACACAGCAAACUUAAGGUUUUCUUAGUAGUAAAAAACAUGUAUCUCUCAUACUGUAAAAAAUAAAGGUGUUCCAUGGGAGGGAAGGAGUAGGGGGAGAACAGGUUGGGGCUCAAAAUAAGCAAGUAGGGUUAUUGUAAUCUAUUUUAAAGAAAAUUCAUAAUUUUAAAUCUCUCUUUAGUUCAGAAGAUUGACGUAGAGGAUUUACCUACAGAACUUCAGGAGAUUCCUAAGAAGGCCUUCAGUGAUCUUUUCAUCAAUAUCAUCAGGCCUUAUCAUUGUUUCACAUUUGCUUCUCUUUACCAUAGGGAAUAUAAUAAUUAUUUACUGGUUAACUUCCUAGGGAGAUUGCCUGCGGCUUAUUUAAGAUCCAAAUUUUAAAGUAAUAAUUUCUGUUGAAGCUGCUUGUGAGGUGGUUGGGUGGGCAGAUAGAGUGAAGCCAGGGACACACACUAAAUGAGCCCGGGAUGUAGGCAGGUUUUGAUGUUUUGCUUGCUUUUAUCCCUAACAUUUUAUCCCUUCACGUUUACUGUCUCACUGAACAUUUUGUCUACUCUUCUAGUUAUGCAGUGAGCAGGUCUCCUCCAGGAAGAAGCCUCUUUUUAUGAGGAUUGGGGUGGUGACAGACAAUAAUCAAAUGGUCUGAUUUCUCUGCUAUCCUUUCCUUUCCCCUAAAUGUUCUCAGGGGAUCUGCUUGAACUUUUUUCAAGAGCUCUGUAUUUGGAUUUUUAGUAGCCUAUAGAUUAUCACUCAAUAAAACAAAUUAAUUGUUUUUAAGUGAAUUGCCAAAAGUCAUUUUAAAAAGGAAACUCUAUGGUUAUUAUGGUUUCUGCUAGAAAGAAUUCUGACAGCUCAUAAAAGCAAUAUGUAUAAUUUUUCAUUUUUUAGAAGAAAAUAAAUACUUUCAUGUAAUGGCUUGA